rnacentral:misc_RNA from 1 species
UCGUACAACUGAGGCACAAGGGCUGUCGCUGACUUUUGCGUCGUGCACGCCCGAGUGCUCUCAAACAUCCAUCUCACCCCUAUGUGCACCACCGCGUGGGUCCCCUUUUGGCUCGUCCAGAAGGGGGGCUCGCGUUUUCACACAAACUCGAUACAGUGUAGAAUGUCUUCCUUUGCGAUCACACGCAAUUAAUA